rnacentral:rRNA from 1 species
CCUACGGGAGGCAGCAGUGAGGAAUAUUGGUCAAUGGGCGGGAGCCUGAACCAGCCACGUCGCGUGCAGGAAGAAUGUCCUAUGGAUUGUAAACUGCUUUUGUAGGGGAAUAAUUGUAUCCACGUGUGGAUAUUUGCAUGUACCUUACGAAUAAGGAUCGGCUAACUCCGUGCCAGCAGCCGCGGUAAUACGGAGGAUCCGAGCGUUAUCCGGAUUUAUUGGGUUUAAAGGGUGCGUAGGCGGACUUAUAAGUCAGCGGUGAAAUUUUGCAGCUUAACUGCAAACGUGCCGUUGAAACUGUAGGUCUUGAGUGUAGAUAAGGUAGGCGGAAUGUGUUGUGUAGCGGUGAAAUGCAUAGAUAUGACACAGAACCCCGAUUGCGAAGGCAGCUUACCGGGUUACCACUGACGCUGAUGCACGAAAGCGUGGGGAUCAAACA